ensembl:lncRNA
UUCUUAAUCACAGUAUGAUGUUACUUUGUUGACGUAAUUUACGACAUAACGACAUAACGGUAUCUCACUGACAUAACUGUCGCCAGUGAGAUACCGUAAAAAAGGCUACGGUGCGUUACCAUAAUUUGUCCAAGAGUAUUAUACCACACCAGCAAAAAACGGUAUCAUCCUGCAGAAAGGUAAGCUACCGUAACACGGCGUCACGGUAUGACGCUGGCAGCAGUGACGCCAGUAUGUUACCGUAAAGUGGCGAUGAAAAGUCUAACGGUGCAGAUACACGGAGUAAUCAGAAAAGUUUAGCAUGAAUCUGGACAUUAGAUUUAAGAUUUAAGUUUUAAGCUUAUCAGAUAUCACUUGUUAGAAGCUCCUUACCGUUUGAAGAAAUCUCUUCUCAAUCUGCUGUCCUCUUCUGCUUGCAUCUUUUUUUUUUCAUCUAACACUGACGUUAUUUUUUCUCCGUGAAAAACACAGCAACUCAUCUUAUCCCGGGGUGCCAGGAAGUCGAGCUGCGGAUCUCAGCAGAAAACUUUUCAAACUGAUUGCAGGUUGAUCCAGGUAUACAUUUGAAACAGGUUCUCCUCGGUGACGUGACAGUCGGAACGCAUCUGCGUAACCAUGGUUACAGGGGGACGCUUUGGAGCUCUGCUGCUCAGCAGCAAAAUAUUUCAGAUCAAUAUGUAAAUACUCCAACUCUAAAACCAAGUAAAAUAAAUAUGCUGCAUAUGUGUAUAGUGCGUUCAUGUGUGUGUGCGCUGCGUGGUGACGUAGGCGCGUGCAUGUGUGCCCCGGUCACAGCUCCUUUCAGCAUGGCCGGAGGUAAGUCACUGCCACGUUGCUCUCAGCUAAUUAAAGUUUGUUCAGAUCCCAAGCUGCAAUGUGAAUACAGCCAAACCGCCGCGUUUUUGUUUGUCAUUAAGAGACUCAUUCGGGAUAAGUUUUGUGGAGGGCGGAGUUCACUAAUAUACGCUUAUGAGUUUUAGCCGAGAACGCAGCUAAAAUGCUAGCAUGCUAAGUUAGCCUGAUUGCUAGCGGCUACUCGCGGCAGUCUUUUUUUAACAGCAUGCACUCUUUUUUCCUUCGUCAGGAGAGGUGUACUGGCAGUCGCGUGACACACACAGAUCAGACACAUGUUUCUGUGUUGCAGAUGUGCAGUAAAGAGCCAAAGACCCAGUACUGUCUCCUGCCUCUUACUUUCACGCCAGAACACAACGCAAGAACAACAGGCGUAACACAUGAACGAGUUACACAUACUGAGGUGAGUUGUUGAGGAUAUGUCGAGCUGUUGAUGGGCACGGCUGUUUUUGUGCUCUUAUAUACUGUUAGCCUGUUUUGCUGGCGUUAGUGAAGCUGUUUUCAACUGGAUGUAACAUUGUUGAACUCUGAUGAUUAAUGAAUAAACUCUCGAUGUGACGAUGUGAGCAUGUAAUUGUAACCCUGUGUUCAUUUAGUCGUUUGAUACCGUUUAAUAUCCAGUACAUCUAUUGGGUGUUUUAUAACAUGCCCUGGAAUCAUUUUAAGUUUUACAAUGCCGGUGAUUUACGACUCUUUCGCGACAGUCAACUGUGGCGUAAACUCUGGCGGGUCUCAGAGCUAGCUUAUGUGAGCCAGCAGUGACAUCUAUACAUGCAGUAGCCUUAAAAUACUGAUUAUUUAUUCUCCUGCUAGGUAAGAAUUUGUGUUUUAUACGUUUAUUGUCACAUUGUGCGCCAUGUUAUUGUUUCGGUGAAAUGAAUUUCUACAAUGGCGGACUUAGACAAAAUAGUGUUACUGUUAAUUUGACUCUCUGCAGUGUUUAAAUGCUUACAUAUACACACACAGUUACUGUCCCGCCACACGUAGGACUCAGUUCUGCUUCUAUGCCCCAUCUUUGUUUACUCUUUCCCACCCAACAAGUGCAUAAAUAAGAUGUUAAAAACGUCAUCAUCAUAUCAAACAUGAUCGAUUUGGGGGGAGUUUGUUUGGCA